rnacentral:rRNA from 1 species
AGAGUUUGAUCCUGGCUCAGAAUGAACGCUGGCGGCGUGCUUAACACAUGCAAGUCGAACGAUGAAGCCUAGCUUGCUAGGUGGAUUAGUGGCGCACGGGUGAGUAAUAUAUAGAUAACGUGCCUCUUAGUCUGGGAUAGCCAUUGGAAACGAUGAUUAAUACUAGAUACUCCUUCUCUUUAUAAUUAGAGUUGGGAAAGUUUUUCGCUAAGAGAUCGGUCUAUAUCCCAUCAGCUUGUUGGUAGUGUAAGAGACUACCAAGGCUAUGACGGGUAGCGGGUUUGAGAGGAUGAUCCGCCACACUGGUACUGAGACACGGACCAGACUCCUACGGGAGGCAGCAGUAAGGAAUAUUGGGCAAUGGACGCAAGUCUGACCCAGCCAUGCCGCGUGCAGGAUGACAGCCUUAUGGGUUGUAAACUGCUUUUAUAUGAGAAAAAUUCUCCCGACGUGUCGGGAGUUGAUUGUACCAUAUGAAUAAGCAUCGGCUAACUCCGUGCCAGCAGCCGCGGUAAUACGGAGGAUGCAAGCGUUAUCCGGAUUUAUUGGGUUUAAAGGGUGCGCAGGCGGAAUGAUAAGUCAGUGGUGAAAUCCUACAGCUCAACUGUAGAACUGCCAUUGAAACUGUCGUUCUUGAGUACAGUUGUAGUGGGCGGAAUAUGUCAUGUAGCGGUGAAAUGCAUAGAUAUGACAUAGAACACCGAUCGCGAAGACAGCUCACUAAGCUGUAACUGACGCUCAGGCACGAAAGCGUGGGGAGCAAACAGGAUUAGAUACCCUGGUAGUCCACGCCGUAAACGAUGACUACUCGUUGUUGGCGAUACACAGUCAGCGACUGAACGAAAGUAUUAAGUAAUCCACCUGGGGAGUCCGAUCGCAAGAUUGAAACUCAAAGGAAUUGACGGGGGCCCGCACAAGCGGU